CCUACGGGAGGCAGCAGUAGGGAAUCUUCGGCAAUGGACGAAAGUCUGACCGAGCAACGCCGCGUGAGUGAAGAAGGUUUUCGGAUCGUAAAACUCUGUUGUUAGAGAAGAAUGUUGAUUAGAGUGGAAAAUUAAUCAAGUGACGGUAUCUACCAGAAAGACGUUUGG
rnacentral:rRNA from 1 species